ACUAGCAGGUAAGAGUUUGAUCAUGGCUCAGGACGAACGCUGGCGGUGUGCUUCACACAUGCAAGUCGAACGGUAGCAAUACAGUGGCGGACGGGUGAGUAACACGUGGGAAUCUGCCUUUAGAUGGGGGAUAGCAGGCCGAAAGGCCUAUUAAUACCGCAUAUGCCGAAAGGUGAAAGGAGCAAUCCGUCUGAAGAUGAGCCCGCGUCCGAUUAGCUAGUUGGUGGGGUAAAGGCCUACCAAGGCGACGAUCCUUAGCUGGUCUGAGAGGAUGAUCAGCCACACUGGGACUGAGACACGGCCCAGACUCCUACGGGAGGCAGCAGUGGGGAAUUUUGGACAAUGGGCGAAAGCCUGAUCCAGCGAUGCCGCGUGGGUGAAGAAGGCCUUCGGGUUGUAAAGCCCUUUCGGCAGGGAAGAAAAGUCCGGAGCUAAUACCUCCGGGUCUUGACGUUACCUGCGGAAGAAGCACCGGCUAACUCCGUGCCAGCAGCCGCGGUAAUAC
rnacentral:rRNA from 1 species